CCAGUUCCAGAUCAUGGGUGGGUUUUUAACUGAUCCAUUUCCUGGAGGCAAGUGUGAGCAGGUUAGUUUUGUUUCUUGUUCACAGUUCACACUCGUCCAAUGUCUCACGGUCAGGAUCUAAGAUGGGACUCUUCCUUCUUUUGGCUCUUUUGGGGAUUGAUGGCGCAAAUGCAGGGAUUCACUCUCUCAUCUAUCAAGCAACUGCAUCAUCUGGAGUUCAUCACUUCCCAGAGUAUGUGGAGGUUGGUUUGGUGGACGAUGUUGUGUUCAGUCACUACGACAGCAACAGCAGGAGAGUUGAACCCAAACAGGACUGGAUGACCCGACUCACUGAUGAUGAUCCGGAAUAUUUAGAAAGAGAGACACGGAGGUGCAGGGAUGACCAGAGGAGCAGAAAGAACCUCAUGAGGGAGGUUCAAAAAAGAUUCAACCAGACUGGAGGUGUCCACACACUUCAGGUGACACACAGCUGUGAGAGGGACAAUGAGACUGGAGAGGUCAGAGGUCAUUAUCAGUACGCUUACGAUGGACAAGACUUUCUAUCGUGGGACCUCAAGACUUUGACAUGGAUCGCAGCGAAUCAACAGGCUGUCGACACCAAACACCAAUGGGACAACGAUGAAGGUCGUAACAAAUAUCUACAGUACUACCUGAAGACCCACUGUCCUGCGCAUUUGAAGAAGCUUCUGGACUAUGGGAAGAGCUCCAUCCAGAGAACAGAGCUUCCAUCAGUGUCUCUCCUCCAGAAGACUCCGUCCUCUCCCAUCGUCUGCCACGCUACAGGCUUCUACCCUCCACGAGCCAAGUUGUUCUGGACCAAAGACGGAGAGGAGCUUCACCGAGGUGUUACAAUUGAAGAGGUCCUCCCCAACCCUGAUGGAACCUACCAGAUGAGGGCCCAGCUGAAACUGCCAGACCCGUCUGAAGACUGGGAGAGGUUCACCUGUGUGUUCCACCUUGAAGGUGUAGAGGAAGCCUUGCUCACCAAACUGGACAAAGAGGCCAUUUUAACCAACGGGAAGCCAGAGGACCAGACCGUCCCCAUCGUUGUCUCAGUGGCAGCUGUUCUCAUCAUCUUCACUGUUAUUGGUCUUUAUUAUUGUUCUCUUGCUUCUGUUGGAACGGACCGGUCCACAAGAGCAGGUGAGAAGACAGGAGCAGACUUGAGUGACGUUGACCAAAUCAUUCACAAACAGAAGGCAACAAAGAUCCAGAGACACAAUGUUCCACCACAAGCUUGAUGGCUUCACACGUCGAACACAAAAACCAGUCUGGUUGAACUUCAGUGAAGGUCCAUCAACGUUGUGAUGUUCAAAGUUGUUGUUUUCUUUUUCAGGCAAAAGACAAAGAAUUGACUCCAACAGUUCUGCGAUAGAGUUGCUUUCAGACAACUAGCAUUCAGUCUCAUUGGGGCGUCUGCAGCAAGAAGGUCCUGCGUGAGGUGAGUGGUGACUUGAUGUUGUGCAGCUGUUUGUUCUCAGAAUGUUGGAGACACAAUGUGGACUGAGUGAAGCAGAUCAAGAGAGUGACUCCCAGUAGAAACCUGGAGUUCAUGUCUACACUGCAAAGAGUUGAAUCAACUGAACUGACUCUGAUGGACUUGAACAGACUCGUGUCUCAUGACAGACAUGAACAGUCCUUAACACUGGUUCCAACAGACUCUCGUGAAUUCAAACAUCUUCUCUCAGGACCUCACUGAACUCAUGUCUUCAUUUCAGUGACUCAACCCAUGAGUACGUCUAUCUAAUGGUCUCCGUUCAGCUGUGACUCGUCGUUUACUCGACUGAACUCUAAUGUUCUCUAGAUGACUGAAUCGACUGUGUGUCCUGAUAAGUUUCAUAGAACUUAAGUUCAACUGUAACUCUCAAGUUGAUCUUCAUCAGCAGGACUGUUGCCAUGGUGAUAUUCAACAUGAAGAAAUGUUUAGUUUGACUGCAGCAGAGUCACAGAUGAUUCUGUGAGGAUUUCUCUUCUCACUCAAAUCCAUCCUCUCUUCACUUUCAGCUUGAAGGAGUGUCACAGGGAAAGAAGAGUGGAGACAUCCGUUUUCAAAACUAGAACUAGAGGAUUGCUAGAAGUGAUCUUCAUGCAUUUUCUGUGGCACAGACAGCAACAGUGCACCCGCGGCUUAUAGACCGGUGAGGCUUAUGUCCGAAAAAAAUCUAUUUUCCUACUUAGAUUUCAUGGGUGUGGCUAAUAUCCCGGUGCGCUUUAUCGUCAGGAAAAUACUGUAUAUUUUUUUAUUCACCAUAUUUUUAUGCUGGCGUUGUGUUUGAGUUGUCAUAUCUUUGCUUUGUACACCAGUCUGUGUCAGGCUGUUGCACUACCUCCAUUCCUGCUGCAACAGACCAGUAACAAAACAGGUUUUAUUGGAUUCAAGCACAAAAUGCAAAGUUUGGGGUCGAGAUGUAAUUUUUUGGGAUAAAAUGUUUGUGAUGAUCACCUUGUUCCAGACUGCUUUGAUCUUAUGGCAUUACCAUAUACAAAGGAACAACAUACCUCUCGGUAUACCACAUUUAAUACAGGUAUCAGGUAAACUUGUGCAAUUUGAAUGUGUUUUUUGUAUGAGAUUCCCUCUCUCUCACGCCCCCUGCUGGUUCUUCAAACUGUAGUUUGCAGACAGUGGAUCAGACCCACAGCUUGCGCUCCUUACCACUACCACUAGAUGGCGGCCUUUCAACCCCUGAGCUAUUGGUGAAUCUCUCCAGCAGGUGCUGCAGAACACAGCAAA